AUGGCCUGUUUCAAGCUACCGAGAGAUCUUUGUGAACAUAUUAAUGGACUAAUUCGCAAAUUUUGGUGGGGAAGCAAGAAGGGUGAAAGGAAGACGGCUUGGGUAUCCUGGAACACUAUGACGAAGCCAAAAUUCAUGGGAGGGCUCGGAUUUCGUGACAUUGAGCUAUUUAAUUUGGUGUUGCUUGCGCGCCAAGCUUGGAGACUUUUGCAGGAACCAACUACACUCAGUGCUAGAGUUCUCAGGGCCAGAUAUUAUCCUAACUGCAACCUCCUGGAUGCUAGCUUGGGAUCGUCACCAUCUCAGGUAUGGCGGUCCAUUCUGGAGGGAAGAGACAUAUUAGCGUUGGGUUUAAUCAAGCGUAUCGGUUCUGGAGCUUCGACCAAUGUAUGGGAUGACAAGUGGUUGCCAGGGACUACAAAUUGCGACCAAUCUGCUGCCGGUCUACUGACCCACCGACAGUAG
rnacentral:rRNA from 1 species